rnacentral:lncRNA from 1 species
GAGUGUAUGUGUAAGAGAGAGAGAGAAAGAGAGGGAGUGAGAGAACGCGGAGUUUUGUUCACUUUCAUCCCCCGGUUGGCAGCAGGACCGUGCGCCUCUCUCUCUCUGUCUCCCCGCUCUCUGUGAGUCUUUCGCCGCAUGGAUUUUUGAUCUCGCCCGCUGCUCUCCUGGAGGGUCUCUCUCCGGCUCGGUUCACAUGGGACUUGUUGUUCCUGUUUUUUUCUGGAACAAAAGCCGCUCUCCGUGCCCCAUGUUCGGCUCCAGGGCUCCGUAGCUGAGGGCUCUUCGCCAUGGCCGAGCCGGGAGCAGUUUCCGACGCUUUGGCGGCUCCGCUGCUCGAGUUUAGCGCCGAGGCUGCGUCUCCCGGCCGGGAUGCGGCUCGGCGGGGCUUCCCGGGCCACGGCGCCGAGGGGCUCUUCUCCAACGGCGGCUGCAGGGAGCUCAGCAGCCCUGCGGUGGGCAGCCGGGGUCGAGACGCGUCCGCCGAAAGGAACCAGCCUAGCGGGAACCCACCCUGCGGGAUUAUGAAGGACUCCCCUAUCACUAGUGAUGCCCCAACACCAGGAGGGUAAAGACUACACAUG